AGGGGGCAUCCGGGCAUCAAAGUUUUGAGACAACUGACAAUCUGACAUACAACUAGUUCUUUACUUCUUUUCCAUCAAGAUACUGGCUGAGAAGGUUACUUUAAUUAUUUCUGGGUACUUUCUUUCCCAACAUUGUUCUUCAUAAAAAAGGAUGGUGGAGAUGUUUCUCAAUGUGCAGAGCAGAUGAGAGCCCCGAAGUUCUGCAAGAUGCCUGUAAUUGUAUCAUGUUGCGAGAUGAAAAUGGGAAGAAAAUGGAAAUCUGAAAUAAUUCCUUGGUAAAUUUGGUGUUGAAGCUGACAAUGGUGGUGAUUUCUGGUGUGCAGUGGUGUGGAAGUCAUUUUCUGAUUGAGAAAUGCACUGAUAUGAAGCUUCUGCAGACUUGCUGUUCAACAUCAGACUUGAAAAAACAAUGUUGGUGUUGAUGCAGUGUUGAGCUGUUGUGAAAAAUAGUUUGUGUUGCCAGAUGACUCUGGCAUUUUUUUGGUGUGUUCUUCUGCUUCCUGUACACAUGGUGAGUUCAAUCGAAUGGCGCCGUUUCAAACUUGAUCCACUGGGGAAGCUAAGGAGAAGUUGCUGUUAUUCAAGACUGAUAGAUUAUUCAGAUUUAGACAAAUUCAAAAUGCAAAUCUAUUGUCCUUUUUCCCUAAGUAAACAAAACGACCUUAGUUGUGUGAAAACCAGGAAUGUUAUCAUGGAAUGGGGAAUUGCAAUGAAAUUAUAUAUUAUGAGAAAAGUUAAACCACAAAUUGAAAUGUUCCAACACUUACUGCUUUUAAUCAAUAACAUGCACUCAAUUUAAAAAUAAACCUUUGAA